rnacentral:rRNA from 1 species
UUAAACACAAGAGUUUGAUCCUGGCUCAGGACGAACGCUGGCGGCGUGCCUAACACAUGCAAGUCGAGCGGAGGCAUAGGAAAGAAGUU